rnacentral:rRNA from 1 species
CCUACGGGUGGCAGCAGUGGGGGAUAUUGGACAAUGGGGGAAACCCUGAUCCAGCGACGCCGCGUGUGUGAAGAAGUAUUUCGGUAUGUAAAGCUCUAUCAGCAGGGAAGAAAGAAAUGACGGUACCUGAGUAAGAAGCCCCGGCUAACUACGUGCCAGCAGCCGCGGUAAUACGUAGGGGGCAAGCGUUAUCCGGAAUUACUGGGUGUAAAGGGAGCGUAGACGGCAGCGCAAGUCUGGAGUGAAAUGCCGGGGCCCAACCCCGGAACUGCUCUGGAAACUGUGAGGCUGGAGUGCAGGAGAGGUAAGCGGAAUUCCUGGUGUAGCGGUGAAAUGCGUAGAUAUCAGGAGGAACACCGGCGGCGAAGGCGGCUUACUGGACUGUAACUGACGUUGAGGCUCGAAGGCGUGGGGAGCAAACAGGAUUAGAUACCCGAGUAGUC